GCUUACCCGCCGCUCCGGUUUCGCAUCCGGUUCGCCCGGUCCGCGUGGCUCCUCAGCCCCCGCCCCCUCCUCCCCUUUCCCACUACCUCCACUACCAGCACGGCAGCACCCCCGCCGCGGAGCCCAGCACCCGCUCGGUCACGGCGGCGCCCAGUUGCCCACCCAAUCCCGGCGCCCAGUCGCCGCUCCCUCCGCCAGACGCGCCCCCAAUACCGGCGGCCAGCUCGGAUUUCUAUGGCGGCGCCGCACUACCCUGCCAUCGGCGGCUUCCCGUCGACGACCGUCGGGUCAUCCCCGCCCCUUCCUCCCCCGUCGGCAGUGGCGGCCCCACCGCUAGUGCUCCCGACGGCGGCGUCGUGUUGGGAGACAUCCGAUUCGUGGGAGGAAGGAGCAGCAGGAGCCGGAUCCACGCCCAACCGCCCAGCUCCCAUCCGUACCACCCUGCUGGUCGCAGCUUCCUCCACCGCCGCCCGCCGCGCGAGACGACGAGGCAACCGCAGCCGCCCCUUUCCCCCACCGGCAGCGGCGGCUCCCACCGCCGGCGGUGGGAGCGGCGGCGUGGGGACGGGGUCGACGCCACUCCCCUCCUCCGACGGUGCUCCCUCAUCCCGACCCCGUUCUGAGAUCGAGGCGAGCCACGAGCAGCAGCCAUGAGCGAGGUGUUCGAGGGCUACGAUAGGCAAUACUGCGUGGCCGCGGCCUCCCUCUCCCUCGAUGGAGAGAAGAAGCAGAAGCUGUCCGAGAUCCAGUCCGACGUGGAGGAAGCUGAAUGGCUGGUAAAUAGAUGCAUCAACGCACUUUGUUCCAUAUGCACAUAUAGAUUUGUCUGCAAUUGAGAUUGAGUACACAUGCUGGAUGGAGGAUUGAGCUAGCAGGUCAGUCAAACAAUCACGAAUUCAGCUUUUCACAGCAUUUUUUAUAAGUAAUAAUCUAGUAGAAAGCUGGAUUAAUUCUUUUCUCGUGAAAGCACAUUGAGCCAGAUCUCAUUUGGUCUUGGAGCUCAAUGUAUCUGCACAUCUAUUUGGAUGCAUUGAUACUUGAAUCGAGACUGCACUAAGUUUUGGGUAAAUCUCAUGUGCCGGAUGCUUUUGACAAUAUCGACUGAGCAUUGAAUUGUGAUCUUGAUGUAACCAAGCCUUCCGCAUGCUCUGUCUCAUGUUCAUGUAGUUUGUACUGAUUAUACUGUGCCGAUUUUUUCCUUCUUGACAAUCAUUUUUAGUUGACAGUUUACUAAAAGAUCUCAAGCACGCUACCCAUGAUUCAGAGCAGAUAUUCCUAGUAUGAACAAAAGUGGUUCUUUUUAUUUUUAUUACUCCUUGCCCAUUCCAACCUCUGUACGAUAUUGCCAGCAUCAGUUUGUGUGUACUACCUCUAAUUAAAUCCACCUAUGAAUGGAAACGCUGCUGCAUACGCAUAUCCUUGUGGGAAUUGUUUUUUUUUUGCAGUAAAGGGUGGAGUACAUUGUUGAUCCCAUUUGCUUUGCUAACUGAACUAGCCUUUGGUUAGUUUUCUGAAAUCUUCCUGUUAGUUUAGAAAACUAAUGCUAGAGUAGAUAUAUUUCCAAGAGCAAUUUUCUUUUGAUUUUUGUUUACACAACUGAUUCAGUGCAUUGCAAGUUCUGACAAUUUCCCUGUAUAUAUGUUCUUGCAGUUUAGCUGCAGACUUUAGCCAUGGGGUAGUGUUUAUGGCAAUGCUUUUCGCGAACAAAGUAUUUCUUAUGCAGGACAUUCACUCCAUUAUCCUGCUCCCUGUACAGCAAAUAGGCACAUCGCUUCUGAUACAUUUUGGUCAAGUUCUAUGAAUGUCAAACAAAAAGACUCCAGCUUGAUAACAGCAAAGAAGCUUCUUCUGGUGACAUUACCAACACAGAUGUGCAGAGCAAGGAGAAGAAUGUUGGAAGGCCAUCACGGAAGUUGCCAAGUGAAACGACAUGGGAUCUGCAAAGGUUGCUGGUUGGAGAGGGAUCGCAGGCCUGCCAAAUAGUUGCAGAUAGCUAGGCAUCUCUUUCUGAAUUGUGUGCACUGGCAUAGCAGUAGCAGUAGCUCAUCAAUCAUGCAUGUAUUUUGUGCAGCAAGUUGGAUUCUAGGACUGCUUGCCGGAGAUUGCACGUGCUGGCGGUGUUGCUUGCUUGCUGGAGAUCGCCCGUUAUGAAGCCUGGAUUUGCUUCCUUGCUGGAGAUCGCGCGCGCAAGAGGAGCUGCUUGCUGGAGAGUGACAGACCACCGGUGGCAUGGCCGCCCAGUCGCAAGCAGUGAUCGAUGUAUAAAACUCUUGUUAGAGUGAUGGUUCAUGUCUUUCUGAGACUUCCAUUUGCAUGCCUGUGAUGUUAUCCUUUCUAAGCCUUGUGGUGUGAUGAUGUGUUCCAAAGUUGUGCCAAGGCCGGUGCACUCAGGUUGUUCCUUUUCUUCACUUGUAUGGCAAUCCUUGCUUGAUUCUAGAUUUAAGAUA